AACGCACAUUGCACCUUCUAGUAUUCUGGAGGGUAUGCCUGUUCGAGCGUCAUUACACCCCUCAAGCACUGCUUGGUAUUGGAUGUCACUUCUGUAGUGCGUCCCAAAGGUAUUGGUAGUAGCUUCUGACUUCUAGUAUAGUAGAUUUCUUGCUGUGGAGUUGGUUGUUUGACCACCAGAACCCCUAAUAUUUUAAAAGGUUGACCUCGGAUCAGGUAGGGAUACCCGCUGAACUUAA
rnacentral:misc_RNA from 1 species